AGUGUCCGAAAAGAUUCUUUUGAAACUGAUGUCAAAGAGUGUACUGCCUAUAUUCUCUUCCAAAAGAAUUAUUGUCUCAGGCCUAAUCUUUAGGUCUUUGAUCCAUUUUGAGUUUAUUUUGGUGUGUGGUGAAAAAGACUGGUCAAUUUUCAAUCUUUUGCAUGUGGCUGUCCAGUUUUCCCAGCACCAUUUGUUGAAGAGACUUUCUUUUCUCCAUUGUAGGCCCUCUGCUCCUUUAUCGAAGAUUAGCUGUCCAUAGAUGUGUGGUUUUAUCUCCGGGCUUUCAAUUCUGUUCCAUUGAUCUGUGGACCUGUUUUUGUACCAGUACCAUGCUGUUUUGAUCACUGUAGCUUUGUAGUAUGUUUUGAAAUCGGGGAUUGUGAUUCUGCCAGCUUUGUUUUUCUUGCUCAGGAGUGCUUUAGCAAUUCACGGUCUUUUGUUGCCCCAUAUGAAUUUUAGGAUUGUUUGUUCAAUUUCUGUGAAGAAUGUUCUUGGGAUUCUGAUUGGGAUAGCAUUGAAUCUGUAUAUUGCUUUAGGUAGUAUGGACAUUUUAACUAUGUUUAUUCUUCCAAUCCAUGUGCAAGGAAUGUCUUUCCAUCUCUUUAUGUCAUCGUCAAUUUCUUUGAAGAAAGUCUUGUAGUUUUCAUUGUAUAGAUCCUUCGCUUCCUUGGUUAAGUUUAUCCCAAGGUAUUUUAUUCUUUUCGUUGCGAUUGUGAAUGGGAUUGAGUUCUUGAGUUCUUUUUCUGUUAGUUCAUUGUUAGUGUAUAGAAAUGCUACUGAUUUAUGCACGUUAAUUUUAUACCCUGCUACUUUGCUGUAGUUGUUGAUUAUUUCUAAUAGUUUUUCUGUGGAUUCUUUGGGGUUUUCUAUAUAUAAGAUCAUGUCGUCUGCAAACAACAAGAGUUUUACUUCUUCAUUACCUAUUUGAAUUCCUUUUAUUUCUUUUUCCUGCCGAAUUGCUCUGGCCAGCACCUCCAGUACUAUGUUGAAUAGGAGUGGUGAAAGUGGGCACCCUUGUCUUGUUCCUGUCCUCAGUGGGAUGGCUUUCAGUUUUUGUCCAUUGAGUAUGAUGUUGGCUGUGGGUCUAUCAU
rnacentral:lncRNA from 1 species